rnacentral:tRNA from 1 species
GCAUUGAUGGUUCAGUGGUAGAAUUCUCGCCUCCCAUGCGGGAGACCCAGGUUCGAUUCCUAAGCAACGCA